rnacentral:tRNA from 1 species
GUGGGUAUAGCUCAGUUGGAUAGAGCUCCUGACUGUGGCUCAGGUGGUCGCGAGUUCGAAUCUCGUUACCCACCCCA